AUGCAUUGGAAGGUCAUGAGGAAGACGUUCAAGUCACUAGGAGAUACUUACAAUUUCUAUAAUCAGUAUGCGUACGAACGUGGUUUCAGCGUAAGAAAGGACUCACUGAAAUAUUCGAAAGGUCCUGAGGCAACUAAGCGCUUGAGAAAGUAUGUGUGUGCGAUAGCUGGGAAACAACAGGCAAAACGUUGUACAAUGGAAGGCAGGACCCGCAGGCUAAGAGGGGAGACUCGUUGCUUUUGCGAUGCGCAUAUAACUUUGAAACUUGAUAAAGAGCGUGACGUUUGGUAUGUCAGCAGUUUCAAUGAUGAUCACAGUCACGUUCUAGCUAGACCGGAUGAAGUCACGUUUCUUCGGUCUCACAAUCAAAUAAAAGAAUAUCAGAAGGCUGAGAUCUUAACCAUGGUAGGUGCUGGAAUCAGGAAACAAAUGAUUUAUGAUAAACUCGUUGCGCGCUCCGGGUCAUAUGCAAAGGCUGGUUUUGGGAGGAAGAAGCUCUAUAACAUGUGUUAUAGAGAAAAAAUGAAGUUGCUUGCACAAGGUGAUGCAGACACUGCCAUUGGAUCAUGA
rnacentral:rRNA from 1 species